ensembl:lncRNA
CUAUCACAGAGGCGUCGCAGUCAGCAGAUGUGGUGUGUGGAUGUUUAGAUGUUGUUGUUACUAAGAAGGAAACGCGGUCCGUUACUAUUUUUCAACAAACAGACGGUUGCAGCUGUGUUCAGCUUACCGCAUCUUAUAUCAGCUGCACGGAAGUAGCUGUAAGUAAUCUGGACGCUACAGCUUUAAGCAGCUGCGCGCUCCCGCGGACGGCAAUCACAAUCACUGUCUAGCACAACAGCUGGAGCUCAGGAGGCAAAACAAUCGCAUGAGUGCUGCUGUUUGACUGAGGAAGAAUAAAGUAGUCGUGUGUCUGAAGAUGUGUUCGAGUCUCUCCACCAGCCGCCUGAUUCUUCUGAUCUCCCUGAGUGUGAUGAUGCUCAUCUCUGUAUCAGGAGCUGACCACGUGGGAAAUACCUGCUAUAAAACAUAUUCUAACCAAAAUGCAAGAACCACGUUUGCACCUAAAUGGGCCAAAAACAUCAUCAGCUGCGUUGAAGACAACAGACAUGGCUGCCUUCAUGGCUAUGAGGUCAAAAUAAGCAGAGGAAGAACAUUUUUCCUCAGACCAAACACCGAGUGGCUUAAAAGGAAAAUAAAUGAGGGAACUCUGCUGUGUCCUCCAAUGUUUUCUAAAUGAUGAUGAUGGAAACGAUGAAACAAAAGCUGUAGGACACAAGACCCUAGUGUUUUUUGCCCAUUAUUCAUUAUUAAUUCUUUUCUUCUUUUUUUUCUUUUUUCUUCUUCUUUCACCACCACAGGGAACUCUGUUGUGUCCUCCAGUGUUUUCAAAUAAACAUGUAUAAGCUAUUAAUCUUUAAUGAGUCCUCCCACUGUAGUUUGUAUAUUCCAGCUGCACCACAGUGUUUAGAAGCAGUGACUGUCUGUCAUCUUGUCUCGUAGGUUUCUUAAUUCACACAGUGAUUUUCAUAGAUUUAAUCUAAGUAUAGAUGAUGAAAAUGAUGAAACAAAGUUAAAGUAAAGCAGCUGCUGGAAACAUUUCUGCUCAUUUAUUAGUUCACACUUUGACAGAAAUAUUUGUUAAGAAAUGUAAAUUAUUUUUUGCAAAUUAUUCAUAGCACCUUAACAGUCUUGUGUUCACAUAUAUAUAUAUAUACAAUACAAUACAAAACAAUUUUACUAUAUAACAUGUUUAAAGCCAGGGGGUACACCAAAUUGCUUCACAGUAAGGAAUAAAGAGUAAAAUGAUAACACUGAACAGUAAGUCAUUAAAACAAUGUAAAAUAGAGAAACAAACAAAGGCAUUAGUAAGUAGGGAUUGGCAGAAUUCAUGAUAAUCCCGAGAAAUGAGUAAAGAUACGCCAGUUAGUGAUUGGUGAGGAUUAGCAAAUAUACUACAAGUGUCAUUAAAUAUGAAUGUUAUUCUGUCUUCAAGCUGAGAACAAAGAUAAAUCAAUAAAAGCUUCUGAGAUCAGAUUUUUUAAUGGUCUGUGUGAUUAAUUACCAUUUGC